ACCUGAUUAAUUAUUGUAGCUAAUAUUUAUACAACAUUCUAGUUAUUCUGAUAGGGGGCAGUAAAAAGAAAUGAAACUGUAUUAACAGUGCUGAUUGCACACAGUUUACAAAGCCGAAGCCUGGAGAACACUUUACAAGAUGGGUAAAAUCUUCUUCUUUAUUAUAAUUCUUAUCAGUAUUAAAGCUGCACUGAUCUCUUCUCUCAACGUCCAGCAAACACCUCAACAUCUAAUCACACCAGAGACGAGGCAAGCAAAACUAAACUGCCAUCAUGGUGAUGGCAGCUAUCCCUACAUGUACUGGUAUCAACAAAAGACAGUUACAGACUUUAUUGUGCUCAUUGGAAUGAUCCGAUAUGAAACAUUCACUCCUGAGGAUAAGUUUAAAGCACGAUUCAACACUUCAGGACAUGCCACAAAGGAUGCAUUUCUUCUUAUAUCCAAUAUAGCUCAAGAGGACAGUGCAGUAUAUUUCUGUGCUGCUAGUAAGCACAGCUACACAUCCUCCCUUUCUGUUUAG